UACGUAGGGUGCAAGCGUUAAUCGGAAUUACUGGGCGUAAAGCGUGCGCAGGCGGUUUUGUAAGUCAGAUGUGAAAUCCCCGGGCUUAACCUGGGAACUGCGUUUGAAACUACAAGGCUAGAGUGUGGCAGAGGGGGGUGGAAUUCCACGUGUAGCAGUGAAAUGCGUAGAGAUCCGGAAGAACACCGGUGGCGAAGGCGGUCUGCUGGG
rnacentral:rRNA from 1 species